GGAGGGGGCUAGCGUUGUUCGGAAUGACUGGGCAUAAAGGGCGCGUAGGCGGCUUAUCAAGUCAGGUGUGAAAGCCUUGGGCUUAACCCAAGAAUUGCGCUUGAUACUGAUAAGCUAGAGGAUGAUAGAGGAAAGCGGAAUUCCUAGUGUAGAGGUGAAAUUCGUAGAUAUUAGGAAGAACACCAGAGGCGAAGGCGGCUUUCUGGAUCAUAUCUGACGCUGAGGCGAGAAAGCGUGGGGAGCAAACAGGAUUAGAUACCGUGGUAGUCCACGCCGUAAACGAUGAGUGCUAGACGUUAGGGCGCAAGCUUUAGUGUCACAGCUAACGCGUUAAGCACUCCGCCUGGGGAGUACGGUCGCAAGAUUA
rnacentral:rRNA from 1 species